GUAGCUGGUCUGAGAGGAUGAUCAGCCACACUGGAACUGAGACACGGUCCAGACUCCUACGGGAGGCAGCAGUGAGGAAUAUUGGUCAAUGGAGGCAACUCUGAACCAGCCAAGUCGCGUGAAGGAUGAAGGUCUUAUGGAUUGUAAACUUCUUUUGCAAGGGAAUAAAGUGGGGGACGUGUCCUCCUUUGCAUGUACCUUGCGAAUAAGGAUCGGCUAACUCCGUGCCAGCAGCCGCGGUAAUACGGAGGAUCCGAGCGUUAUCCGGAUUUAUUGGGUUUAAAGGGUGCGCAGGCGGGAUGUUAAGUCGGCGGUGAAAUUUUGCAGCUCAACUGUAAAAGUGCCUUCGAUACUGGCUUUCUUGAGUGUGGAUGAAGUAGGCGGAAUUUGUGGUGUAGCGGUGAAAUGCUUAGAUAUCACGAGGAACUCCGAUUGCGCAGGCAGCUUACUAAACCACUACUGACGCUCAUGCACGAAAGCGUGGGGAUCAAACAGGAUUAGAUACCCUGGUAGUCCACGCCGUAAACGAUGAUCACUCGCUGUUUGCGAUAUACAGUAAGCGGCCAAGCGAAAGCGAUAAGUGAUCCACCUGGGGAGUACGAUCGCAAGGUUGAAACUCAAAGGAAUUGACGGGGGCCCGCACAAGCGGAGGAACAUGUGGUUUAAUUCGAUGAUACGCGAGGAACCUUACCCGGGCUUGAAAUGCGGCGGACCGGCAGAGAGAUCUGCCUUCCCUUCGGGGCCGCCGUGUAGGUGCUGCAUGGUUGUCGUCAGCUCGUGCCGUGAGGUGUCGGCUUAAGUGCCAUAACGAGCGCAACCCUCAUCAUUAGUUACUAACAGGUCAUGCUGAGGACUCUAGUGAGACUGCCAUCGUAAGAUGCGAGGAAGGUGGGGAUGACGUCAAAUCAGCACGGCCCUUACGUCCGGGGCGACACACGUGUUACAAUGGGUGGUACAAAGGGCAGCUACCUGGCGACAGGAUGCUAAUCUCCAAAACCACUCUCAGUUCGGAUCGGAGUCUGCAACUCGACUCCGUGAAGCUGGAUUCGCUAGUAAUCGCGCAUCAGCCACGGCGCGGUGAAUACGUUCCCGGGCCUUGUACACACCGCCCGUCAAGCCAUGGAAGCCGGGGGUACCUGAAGUCCGUAACCGUCAAGGAGCGGCCUAGGGUAAAACUGGUAACUGGGGCUAAGUCGUAACAAGGUAGCCGUACCGGAAGGUGCGGCUG
rnacentral:rRNA from 1 species